GUUAAACCAAACCAGACCAAACUCCAGUUCCCAAUUAAACCAGUUCGACUGGCCGGUCCAGUCCAAGUUUGACAGCCAUACUUAUUACACUUGUGACUUCAUAGUUGCUGAGACUACUUUAUAAUCACCGAGCUAAAGCUCCUUAGUUUUGAAUCAUGAUUACUAAUUCACUUUUCAAGUUAAACGCAGAUAUGUUGAGAAUUUUCUAUCAUAAACUCUUAGAAACUAUUUUACUGGGCAGAUAAGAAGACUAGGUCGUAACA
rnacentral:misc_RNA from 1 species